rnacentral:lncRNA from 1 species
AGGGUUCCCAAACACUUCAGAAGUAUGCAUAAUGUGGCAUUUAAAAUGUCUACUAAAAAAGCUUUUCAUGAUAAGGACGUAUAACAGCUCCUGGCAGAAUCACUGAUCUCUCCCAAAGAAGAUGGAUGGGCACAGAACUUCUACCUGGAUCUGCUUUAAAUGUGGCAAAGCUGGCCACUGGGCAAAGAGCUGCCUUUCACCUUGACUGCUGCCAAGACCCUGUUCAGACUGUGGACAAGCAUGACAUUGGGAAGCUGAUUUACCCACUUUGCCUAGACAAGAUAGCCCCACCACUCUAUAGGAAAGUCUGUCAGAUCUUCUGGAUCUGGCAGCUGAAGACUGAUACUGCCUUGGGACUUCUGUCCCCAAUGACCACAGAAGAACCUAGGGUGAAUGUCCAGGAAGCUGUCCAUAUUGUGUCAUCAGACACCAUCUGGGGAUCAUUUGUGUAACUGUAGACUGCUGAGCUCUGGACUUGCUGGAAGCUGAUGUCAACCACUCAGCCAAUGUGACUGUUCUAUGACCCUUAAGCUGGAUCAGCUAAUAAGAUGCUUCUGAUUCUUCGGCCAAAUAAAAAUUCUUGCCUGGGUACCACUAAGCUGAUGGUCAUUAGAUUCCUUCAUUCUUACCAAGACUUGUGAUUUCUGCAUUCUAGUUCAUUUGACUCCUCAAGUAUGUUACUAUUCAGGAGGAGACGGAGCAGCGCCUUUAGAACUUUCUCACUGAACUUGUUG